rnacentral:rRNA from 1 species
GUGCCAGCCGCCGCGGUAAUACAGAGGGGGCAAGCGUUAUUCGGAAUUAUUGGGCGUAAAGGGCGCGUAGGCGGCAUGGCAAGUGGAAGGUGAAAUCCCUCGGCUCAACUGAGGAACUGCCUUCCAAACUGCUCUGCUUGAGUCCGGGAGAGGCGAGUGGAAUUCCCAGUGUAGCGGUGAAAUGCGUAGAUAUUGGGAGGAACACCAGUGGCGAAGGCGGCUCGCUGGACCGGUACUGACGCUGAGGCGCGAAAGCGUGGGGAGCAAACGGGAUUAGAUACCCGCGUAGUCC